GUCCUACAAGAUUAUAAUGGAGCUGAUAAAGUCCCAUCGCCUUAUAUACAGGCAGCCAAAGAAAGUGUGAGAAGAGAGCUCCAGCAGAAGCCAAGGCCCAAGAGACACAGCGGAGGAUGCAGAACAGGCCUUUGUGGACUUUGGUGGUUUGAGACUGAUGAAGUUUGAAAUCAGACUUCAACACCAAGGUUUUCACUGACAAAGAAAACUGUUAGUUGUGCAUUUUCUGCAGGCAUGAAAGAGGCAACAACAACAAAACCACUGCAGACAUACUUCCAAGAAGAAAGAGGAUGGCUUAAGGCUGGGCCUCGAGGGAUAUUUCUGGAGACAAUGCCUUGACCCUGGAGGAGACCUUCUGCCUGUGGUAUUGCUCCUGACCACUUUUCAGUCGGCAAGAUGUGGGGGAUGACUACAACCAACCUGCUGGUCCUGGCCCACUAGGCUCAAGGCAAUGUUUAUGAACUCCCUCAUCUCAUGUUUCCUAA
rnacentral:lncRNA from 1 species